CUACGGGGCGCUGCAGUGGGGGAUAUUGCACAAUGGGCGCAAGCCUGAUGCAGCCAUGCCGCGUGUAUGAAGAAGGCCUUCGGGUUGUAAAGUACUUUCAGCGGGGAGGAAGGGAGUAAAGUUAAUACCUUUGCUCAUUGACGUUACCCGCAGAAGAAGCACCGGCUAACUCCGUGCCAGCAGCCGCGGUAAUACGGAGGGUGCAAGCGUUAAUCGGAAUUACUGGGCGUAAAGCGCACGCAGGCGGUUUGUUAAGUCAGAUGUGAAAUCCCCGGGCUCAACCUGGGAACUGCAUCUGAUACUGGCAAGCUUGAGGCUCGUAGAGGGGGGUAGAAUUCCAGGUGUAGCGGUGAAAUGCGUAGAGAUCUGGAGGAAUACCGGUGGCGAAGGCGGCCCCCUGGACGAAGACUGACGCUCAGGUGCGAAAGCGUGGGGAGCAAACAGGAUUAGAUACCCUCGUAGUC
rnacentral:rRNA from 1 species